AGCGAACGCUGGCGGCAGGCUUAACACAUGCAAGUCGAGCGGGCAUCCUUGUGGUGUCAGCGGCAGACGGGUGAGUAACGCGUGGGAACGUGCCCUUCGGUUCGGAAUAACUCCGGGAAACUUGAGCUAAUACCGGAUACGCCCUUUUGGGGAAAGGUUUACUGCCGAAGGAUCGGCCCGCGUCUGAUUAGCUAGUUGGUGAGGUUAUGGCUCACCAAGGCGACGAUCAGUAGCUGGUCUGAGAGGAUGAUCAGCCACACUGGGACUGAGACACGGCCCAGACUCCUACGGGAGGCAGCAGUGGGGAAUAUUGGACAAUGGGGGCAACCCUGAUCCAGCCAUGCCGCGUGAGUGAUGACGGCCUUAGGGUUGUAAAGCUCUUUUCUCCGGGACGAUAAUGACGGUACCGGAGGAAUAAGCCCCGGCUAACUUCGUG
rnacentral:rRNA from 1 species